CUUGGUCAUUUAGAGGAAGUAAAAGUCGUAACAAGGUUUCCGUAGGUGAACCUGCGGAAGGAUCAUUAUCCAUCUCAAACCAGGUGCGGUCGCGGCCCCCGGGGGCUUGCUCCCGGGUGGUAGGGGUAACACCCUCACGCGCCGCCUGCCUGUACCCUCUUUUUACGAGCACCUUUCGUUCUCCUUCGGCGGGGCAACCUGCCGCUGGAACCAAAACAAAACCUUUUUUGCAUCUAGCAUUACCUGUUCUGAUACAAAUAAUCGUUACAACUUUCAACAAUGGAUCUCUUGGCUCUGGCAUCGAUGAAGAACGCAGCGAAAUGCGAUAAGUAGUGUGAAUUGCAGAAUUCAGUGAAUCAUCGAAUCUUUGAACGCACAUUGCGCCCCUUGGUAUUCCAUGGGGCAUGCCUGUUCGAGCGUCAUUUGUACCCUCAAGCUUUGCUUGGUGUUGGGCGUUUUGUCUUUUCACAAAGACUCGCCUUAAAGUAAUUGGCAGCCAGUGUUUUGGUAGUAAGCGCAGCACAUUUUGCGUCUUAGUCCCUCAGCAACGGCAACCAUGAAGCCUCUUUCUCACUUUUGACCUCGGAUCAGGUAGGGAUACCCGCUGAACUUAAGCAUAUCAAUAAGCGGAGGA
rnacentral:rRNA from 1 species